ACCCCUACACCGGGCCACAAUAAUGGCCGCCGCCAAUGUCCCAGUCCCUGGAGAGGUCUCACCUCUCACUGCAAUGCACUCAGAGCCUUUCAGAACACCUUUCUUCAACAAACACUUUUACAAGUCAAAAUUUAUCACAUGGCUUGAUGAGUGGCACAUAGGUCUGCGUCCAGAUCCGAACCCGAGAACCCCAACAAAGCCAACGAAGCAGAGCACACGAACUUAACCACUACACCACCAGGCCGGCCUCAAGAUUUCGCUGUUCUAUUCAUCAACGAGGGGCUGUCUCCACAGACCACUGGGCCCUCAGAAAUGUCUUUGUGGAAACCAGCCAUGGCCUCUUUGUGGGUUUUGUCUCAUGCUUUGGCACACGUGUGAGCCUUCCUCAGGCAUCUAGAUUGUCUGUUAGUCCCUGUGCGUGGGGACCUGUCAGCACAGAGUCUUGACCCAAUGGGCCAGCAACACAUCCUGCUGCAGGGUCAGAGGAUGGAGAACUCUGAGGCCGAGACGGCAAUGGGGAGACGGAGAGCUGAUGUGAAGAAACCUGCGGUCAGAGAGUCCGAUUUUGCCGACUGUGCUGGAUUCUGACUCGAAUUACGGAUUUGAGGAAACCAGGUCAGUCAUGGGUGAGGCCCGAGUGGAAGUGGCUUCUCCUCACUGGGUAGGUAACUUCCUGGGGUGAGACGCUCAAGAGGAGCAUUCGGACUCCGUGUAACAGGGCUAAGCAGCCGGUGCAGCGUCAGGGCGACCCCUCUCAUCAUCUCACACAGCUCCAUGGCACAGAUCACCACCUCUCCCACUGCCGGAGACCCGACGCGUUCUGCUCGGCGCCACCGGUGUGCAUCAACGUCCUGGCGGUGCGGUGAGUUCUGCUUCUGUGGUUCACAAUUCAGCCACUCACAGGAUCAGACCUUCUCGUAGGAUCACAGCUCUCUUCGCUCUGUGGUUGCCGGGCAUGGAUACUUUUAGCGCUGAACUACGUAUUUUCUGGGUAUCCUUCUGUGCUUCAGACCAAGAGUGCAGGAAUGUGAACAAGUCCUUCUCAUUUCAACUCUCCUAUCCUCUUAGGAGAAUCUGCAGAGGUUUUCCCAAACCAUGUCUAU